CAGUCACAGCAAGCUCACUUCACAGGAACCAAGCUGUGGGCUGAUCCUACAGACUUGAAAAGACAACUCAAAAAGGUUGGCUGUGAUAGGUGUCCCUGGCCACGCCAGUGGAGCACCCAGGCCUCAAGCAGCAUGCUGGGGAAGGGAAAACCCUCCAUUCUGGUGAUGGAGGUGGCCAUGACCAUGUCUGGUUUUCAAAGGCAGCUUUGUAAGAACAGAAACCAGCAGCUCCCCAACAUCUGGCCCUAUCUGCUGUGCAAACCACAGGGACCAGGACCUUUCCGGGGUGCCAGUGGCAUCCUCUGGAACCAGCUUCUCAGUGGAAUUUCAGAUGCUAUUCCUGGUCAAUUGCCUUUGCUAUGUGGUAUCCUUUAAUAAAUUCUGUUUCUCCUCAUA
rnacentral:lncRNA from 1 species